UCAAGAUUCAUGAAAACUUAUCCAGUUAUCUUCAUUCUCACCAUCACUUUUUCUACACUAAUCUUUUUCAUCCUUUGUAACCUAAUAAAACCCACCAACAAAAUUCUUAUCUUAAUAAAACAUUAAUGAAACCAUUAUUAAAACCUCGACUACCUCUUCACUAUUCUUCAAAGUAUGUAAACAACAAAACCACCACCAAAACAAUCCAAAUCGAGCCAACACAUCGAUGUUUAAGUUCCUUUUUAGUUAUAUCUAUAAAUUUUUGUUCGUUUUUUAUAGAUCUAAACACCCAUCUUUAUUUGUUUUGUGUAGAUCUAAACAGUAUCGUAAAUCAUGGCCGAAGAUAUGAGGUUAUGUUGUUCGAUCCACACUAAAAGAGAUUGUUGGACUAAAAAGCUUUCAUCUUUGUAAAUGAAAUAUAAAAAGAUUGUAUAUAGAUCAGAAAGAACAAAGAACAAAUCUUGGGCUAUUGAUGGAAAAAAACAUAAGAAAAGGCAAAGAGUUUAUAAUUUUGUAUGUAGGUGUAUAAAUUUAGAAUGAGAUUCAUAUUUUGAUUUGAAUUGGGAAUUUUGUUGCAAUGUUUGUUUGUAAUGGUUAUUUUAUAAUUUUGAUUUCAAUUAUAUAUUUUGUUGUGAUGUUCGUUUGUAAUGGUUAUUGGUAAAGAAGAAUUAAGAGAGAUUAAUGAAUGUUUAUCUUAAUCUUAA